rnacentral:rRNA from 1 species
UACAGAGGGGGCAAGCGUUGUUCGGAAUUACUGGGCGUAAAGGGCGCGUAGGCGGCCUGUUAAGUCGAACGUGAAAUCCCCGGGCUCAACCCGGGAACUGCGUCCGAUACUGGCAGGCUUGAAUUCGGGAGAGGGAUGUGGAAUUCCAGGUGUAGCGGUGAAAUGCGUAGAUAUCUGGAGGAACACCGGUGGCGAAGGCGGCAUCCUGGACCGAUAUUGACGCUGAUGCGCGAAAGCCAGGGAAGCAAACGGG